rnacentral:misc_RNA from 1 species
AAGUCGUAACAAGGUCUCCGUAGGUGAACCUGCGGAGGGAUCAUUAACACUUCUACUGAAGGAGGAAACUCUUUCUAUACACUCGUGAACUUAACUUAUGCCUUGAUUGGUCUAUAUUUUUAUAUAGGCUGGUCUCACUUUUUCUAUUAUUAUCUUAACUCUAUCCAACCUUAACUAAAUAUUACAAAUCAAUAUUAUGACUGUAAUGGUCCUAAUAUGUUGUUAUAUAAAGUAACAUUUAAGCACAACUCUUAGCAACGGAUAUCUCGGUUCUC